GUCCCUUCAGGGAUAUCCGAUAAAAUUGAAACGAUACAGAGAAGAUUAGCAUGUCCUUGCGUAAGAAUGACACGCAUAAAUCGAGAAAUGGUCCAAUUUUUU
rnacentral:snRNA from 1 species